UUUCCGUAGGUGAACCUGCGGAGGGAUCAUUAUUGGAUAUGGAAGCUUCAGGCUACUGCUGGCUCUCCUCGGUGGGCAGGAGCACGCUUGUUGCCCCUUAUUGCUCUCACUGUGCACAAAUUGUAGACGUUUCAGUCGGACUAUAUUGUUUUUCCCAAUCUCUGAAUGUAAGAGAAUGGUUUAGAAUCUAGGGAAAUACAAUACAACUUUCAGCAACGGAUCUCUUGGCUCUC
rnacentral:misc_RNA from 1 species